rnacentral:rRNA from 1 species
GAUGAACGCUAGCGAUAGGCCUAACACAUGCAAGUCGAGGGGCAUCACAUGAAGUAGCAAUACGGAUGGUGGCGACCGGCGCACGGGUGAGUAACACGUAUGCAACCUGCCUUCAACAAGGGGAUAACCCGUUGAAAGACGGACUAAUACCCUAUAACACAGGGGUCCCGCAUGGGAAUAUUUGUUAAAGGACAACCGGUUGAAGAUGGGCAUGCGUUCCAUUAGCUAGUUGGCGGGUAAGGGCCCACCAAGGCAACGAUGGAUAGGGGAACUGAGAGGUUUAUCCCCCACACUGGUACUGAGACACGGACCAGACUCCUACGGGAGGCAGCAGUGAGGAAUAUUGGUCAAUGGACGCAAGUCUGAACCAGCCACGUCGCGUGAAGGAAGACGGCCCUACGGGUUGUAAACUUCUUUUAUACGGGAAUAAAGUGCCCCACGCGUGGGGUUUUGCAUGUACCGUAUGAAUAAGGAUCGGCUAACUCCGUGCCAGCAG